GAUGAACGCUAGCGGCAGGCUUAAUACAUGCAAGUCGAGGGGCAGCAGGGGUAGCAAUACUCGCUGGCGACCGGCAAACGGGUGCGGAACACGUACAGAACCUUCCUUUAAGUGGGGAAUAGCCCAGAGAAAUUUGGAUUAAUACCCCGUAACAUUAUGAAGUGGCAUCACUUUAUAAUUAUAGAUUCAUCGCUUAAAGAUGGCUGUGCGGCUGAUUAGGUAGUUGGCGGGGUAACGGCCCACCAAGCCUGCGAUCAGUAACUGGUGUGAGAGCACGACCAGUCACACGGGCACUGAGACACGGGCCCGACUCCUACGGGAGGCAGCAGUAAGGAAUAUUGGUCAAUGGACGCAAGUCUGAACCAGCCAU
rnacentral:rRNA from 1 species